rnacentral:rRNA from 1 species
GAUGAACGCUGGCGGCGUGCCUAAUACAUGCAAGUCGAGCGAACAGACGAGGAGCUUGCUCCUCUGACGUUAGCGGCGGACGGGUGAGUAACACGUGGAUAACCUACCUAUAAGACUGGGAUAACUUCGGGAAACCGGAGCUAAUACCGGAUAAUAUAUUGAACCGCAUGGUUCAAUAGUGAAAGACGGUUUUGCUGUCACUUAUAGAUGGAUCCGCGCCGCAUUAGCUAUUUGGUAAGGUAACGGCUUACCAAGGCAACGAUGCGUAGCCGACCUGAGAGGGUGAUCGGCCACACUGGAACUGAGACACGGUCCAGACUCCUACGGGAGGCAGCAGUAGGGAAUCUUCCGCAAUGGGCGAAAGCCUGACGGAGCAACGCCGCGUGAGCGAUGAAGGUCUUCGGAUCGUAAAACUCUGUUAUUAGGGAAGAACAAAUGUGUAAGUAACUAUGCACGUCUUGACGGUACCUAAUCAGAAAGCCACGGCUAACUACGUG